rnacentral:rRNA from 1 species
UGCUACAAUGGCCGGUACAGAGGGUUGCGAUGCCGUGAGGCGGAGCGAAUCCCAAAAAGCCGGUCUCAGUUCGGAUUGGGGUCUGCAACUCGACCCCAUGAAGUCGGAGUCGCUAGUAAUCGCAGAUCAGCAACGCUGCGGUGAAUACGUUCCCGGGCCUU